UAAGGAAUAUUGGUCAAUGGACGCAAGUCUGAACCAGCCAUGCCGCGUGAAGGAUUAAGGUCCUCUGGAUUGUAAACUUCUUUUGUUUGGGACGAAAAAGGGCCUUUCUAGGUCAACUGACGGUACCAGAUGAAUAAGCACCGGCUAACUCCGUGCCAGCAGCCGCGGUAAUACGGAGGGUGCAAGCGUUGUCCGGAAUUAUUGGGCGUAAAGAGCUCGUAGGUGGUUCGGUACGUCGGAUGUGAAAAUCAGGGGCUCAACCCCUGACCUGCAUCCGAUACGGUCGAGCUAGAGUCUGGUAGGGGAGACUGGAAUUCCUGGUGUAGCGGUGGAAUGCGCAGAUAUCAGGAGGAACACCGGUGGCGAAGGCGGGUCUCUGGGCAGUAACUGACGCUGAGGAGCGAAAGCGUGGGGAGCAAACAGG
rnacentral:rRNA from 1 species